GCGCUUGCUUUAACAGCACAUAAACGAAAAACUGGAACAAUACAGAGACUAUCAGCAUGGUCCCUGCACAAGAAUAGCAUACAAUUAUGAAGCAGCCCAUAUUUUU
ensembl:snRNA U6 U6 spliceosomal RNA